UACGUAGGUGGCGAGCGUUGUCCGGAUUUACUGGGCGUAAAGGGAGCGUAGGCGGACUUUUAAGUGAGAUGUGAAAUACUCGGGCUCAACUUGAGUGCUGCAUUUCAAACUGGAAGUCUAGAGUGCAGGAGAGGAGAAUGGAAUUCCUAGUGUAGCGGUGAAAUGCGUAGAGAUUAGGAAGAACACCAGUGGCGAAGGCGGUUCUCUGGACUAUAACUGACGCUGAGGCUCGAAAGCGUGGGGAGCAAACAGG
rnacentral:rRNA from 1 species